rnacentral:lncRNA from 1 species
CCAUGAGUAAUUGAAACGACGGAUAAGGGGAGACUCCUUUAUGCUCAGUUCAUCAUCUUUAUCUAACCUCCUCUCCUAUUCAAGGCUGAAUUUCCACAUCAGCCUUGAAGCGCAAUUCAGGCUAAGUGAAUCCUCCAGAGAACAGUUUUCCAGGAAGUUUCUUUAAAAUACAAUGACAAUUCUGUAAGCUCAGCCAGAGCUUUGAAAGGUAAAGAUCUUGGGCCCCAGGUCAGUAGUUUCAGAAGCAAGUCAUCAUAUACUGUCAUGAUUUGCUGGUACCUGAGCAGCAGGAGGGAUGGAAAGAGAAAGAACACUGGAUAGGUUCAUCACGUAGGGAGGAGGAACCCGUAAGCCUAAUCCAAAAUGCUAGCUGAUGUUUUCAAAGUGAGAUGGCAGCAGAGAGAUCUACUUUAUCAUUGACACCUACUAUUUUAUUUGUAAAUUUGUUACUCUUAUACUAAGAACUGAGAUCAACAAUCUGCAAAGUAAUAUUGGCAAGUCCUUUAGCCCUUUACACAGAAGAUAACAUGUAUUUCCAGACACUUCAGACAACAUAGAGGAAUACUACUUCUAUCUCCAGGUGCCUUUCAGAAUUGUGACAGUUUUUCCAUGUAAAGUAGCAGCCAGGAAUCGUCACGGAAACCUUUCAGAUCCGCCUACUUCUCUAUAGCUUCCCUUUCUCUAUACCUUUUCAUCUUAGGCCUUUCCUUUAUCCAGUCAAGGAGAAGGAGCAAAUAAAUAGUGUUUUUUUUUUUUUAAGAAACAUCACUUUAAAAUGUUAUAAUAUUUGAAAACAACUUAAAGCUCCAUGGAAAGUACUAUGUAUUUUUAAAAUACUUUUGAAGUGGAAAGAAUUAUUACUAGAAUAUCUAGGAAGGCAAGCAACACGUAUUUAAAAAUUUACGUAUCAAAUGGGCAUAACUAUUCUUUAAAUCUGUUGUCUAUGGUCUAUGUUUUGAUUUAAUCUUUCUAUUCGUCUUUCUAUCUUCCUACCUGUCAUAAGCAAGAUGCC